AGCAAGGAAUCUUCCGCAAUGGGCGAAAGCCUGACGGAGCAACGCCGCGUGCGGGAUGACGCCCUUCGGGGUGUAAACCGCUUUUCUUCCGGAAGAACGUGGCGCGAGCCACCUGACGGUACGGGAGGAAGAAGGACCGGCUAACUACGUGCCAGCAGCCGCGGUAAUACGUAGGGUCCGAGCGUUGUCCGGAGUUACUGGGCGUAAAGCGCGCGCAGGCGGCGGUGUAAGCAUGGCGUGAAAGCCCCAGGCUCAACCUGGGAGGGUCGUCGUGGACUGCACCGCUUGAGGGCGGUAGGGGCUGGUGGAAUGCCUGGUGUAGUGGUGAAAUGCGUAGAGAUCAGGCGGAACACCCGUGGCGAAGGCGGCCAGCUGGGCCGUCCCUGACGCUGAGGCGCGAAGGCGUGGGGAGCGAA
rnacentral:rRNA from 1 species